rnacentral:tRNA from 1 species
AGACAGGGUUCAUACCCCGUCCAUACGUUCAAAACGUUCUUA